UUACGGCCACAUCACGUUGAAACACCUUUUCCCGUACGAUCACCGAUGUUAAGCAACAUCGGGGCUGGUCAGCACCCAGAUGGGUGACCGCUUGGGAAUACCAGGUGCUGUAAG